rnacentral:sRNA from 1 species
UCAUCUUCUCUAUCUC